GUUUGAUCCUGGCUCAGAAUGAACGCUAGCGAUAAGCUUAACACAUGCAAGUUGAAUGUUGUCGUACAACAUGGCGUACGGGUGAGUAAGGCGUAAGAAUCUACCAAAAAAUUGUGGGUCAAUCCUCAAUAUCUCGUGGACGAGUAAAGAUAUCUGGUAUCGUUUUUUGGUGAGCUUACGUAAGAUUAGAUAGUUGGUAAGGUAAAAGCUUACCAAGUCGAUGAUCUUUCAUUGGUCUUAGCGGACGACCAAUCACAUCGGGACUGAGAGACGGCCCGAACUCUUGAUGGAGGCAGCAGUGAGGAAUCUUGGACACUGGGCGCAAGCCUGAUCCAGCUAUAUCGCGUGGGUGACGAAGGUUAUAUUGAUUGUAAAACCCUUUCAUUGAAAAAAAACGGUACACCGUUUUUUGGAGACUUUGACAUGAAUCAAAGAAGAAGCUCCGGCAAAUUCUGUGCCAGCAGCCGCGGUAAGACAGGAGGAGCGAGUGUUAUUCGAAUUAAUUGGGCGUAAAGGGCAUGUAGGUGGAGAGAUGUAGUUGUUUGUGAAAGUCCAAAGGGUUUCUUUGGGUGUGCAUUCAAGACGGUUUCUUCUCUUUGAGGGUGUAAGAGGAAAAUAGAAUUUCCAGAGGAGAGGUUAAAUUCUUAGAUUUUGGAAGGAAUACCUAAUGCGAAGGCAAUUUUCUGGUGCACUCCUGACACUGAGGUGCGAAAGCGCGGGGAGC
rnacentral:rRNA from 1 species